UUCUUUAAGUAAGGAUUUAAAGUAUAGCCUGCUCCAUGAGGGUAAAUAGCUGCAGGAGACUGUACUAAGGUAGCGAAGUCAAUAGCUCUUUAAUUAAGGGCGAGAAUGAAUGGUGUGAUGGAGAAAGUUUUUCUUAAUUAUAUAUUUUGAAUUUAAGGGGUAGGUGAGAACUCCUAUGUUAUGUUUAGGGACGAGAAGACCCUAGAAGCUUGGGUGAUUUCUUUUUUGAUGGAUGGAAAUAGGAUUUUGGUUGGGGUAAUUAAGUAAGAUUGGAUUUUAUUUUUGAUCCAUUAUUAAUGAUUAAGGGAUAAAGUUACUUUAGGGAUAACAGCGUUAUAAGAGGAAUUAAGUUCAAAUUUUUUCUUUUGUUUGCGACCUCGAUGUUGGAUUAAUAAUUCUUUUAGGAGUAAGAUUUUAGAGAGAUAGACU
rnacentral:rRNA from 1 species